UGGGGAAUAUUGGGCAAUGGGGGGAACCCUGACCCAGCAACGCCGCGUGAAGGAAGAAGGUUUUCGGAUUGUAAACUUCUGUCCUUGGUGAAGAGGAAGAGACGGUACCCAAGGAGGAUGCUCCGGCUAACUACGUGCCAGCAGACGCGGUAAUACGUAGGGAGCGAGCGUUGUCCGGAAUUACUGGGCGUAAAGGGUGCGUAGGCGGUAGGCCAAGUCAGAUGUGAAAUCCCCGGGCUUAACUCGGGUGGUGCAUUUGAAACUGGUUUACUUGAGUGCAGGAGAGGAAAGCGGAAUUCCAAGUGUAGCGGUGAAAUGCGUAGAUAUUAGGAGGAACACCAGUGGCGAAGGCGGCUUUCUGGACUGUAACUGACGCUGAGGCACGAAAGCGUGGGGAGCAAACAGG
rnacentral:rRNA from 1 species